rnacentral:lncRNA from 1 species
UUGUCCGUAAGUGAUCGAAAUAAAAAAAAGAGUCACUUUUCAAAAAGUGUGAUUUUUAUAAAAGUUACUUUUGAGUUCAAGUGUUUGGUUUCAAAAAAGUGAAAGAAAAAAAUACAGUUUUUAUGACUUCUAUUGUUUGGUUUUAUAUAAGAAAAUAAAAAAAUAAAAUAAUUUUUUUUAGAUGCGUAGUUUUUUUUCUUUUUUUUUUUU